rnacentral:lncRNA from 1 species
UUCAACGUCAAGUAUCAGUUUCAUAAUCAAAUUCAAAACGCUUAAAAUUAUGAUUAGUAUUUUGCGCCACGAGCCUUAAGUGGUGGAGAAUGAGUCAGAAUGAAUACAAAAUAAAAUAAAUAAACAAGAAAUGUGUUGAAUAGAAAAAACAAAAAAGAAAAGAAACACAACAACAACAACAUGAUGCUUUAAUAUAUAUAUUGUUCAUCUUCAUCUUUAUCAUAAAACAAAAAAAAACAAAAAACACUCCAAAUUCUCACUAUAAAUUGAAGCUCAACAAAAACCAACAUGAGAAAUAUAAAUCCAGUAAAACUAAACAUAAACAACACAUCUAACAACAAAGAAAUAAACCCAAAUGUGAACCGUACCGAAAACGAAAAC